rnacentral:SRP_RNA from 1 species
CUGUGCUAAAUGGGGUAGUAGCGGCACCUUGUAACCUGCAAUCCGCUAUAGCAGGGUUGAUGUUUAUAUGAGGUGUGUGGUUGUUUGGUCAGCCCUUGACAAGUGAUGUUGAAGAUUGGGUCUUACGCAAUAGAAACUUUUGAACCCCGUCAGGUCCGGAAGGAAGCAGCGGUAAGGAAGAACUUUUAUGUGCCGUGAGAGUGCCUGGUUUGAGUUAACUAUUAAGGUAACGCAAAUGAUUAAAUAUCGAGUAUAAAUGCACAG